UACGAACUGUGCAAACGUUAUUCGGAAUCACUGGCUUAAAGGGUGCGUAGGCGGCUUGUUAAGUAGGGUGUGAAAUCCCCCGGCUCAACCGGGGAAUUCGCGCCCUAAACUGGCGAGCUGGAGUGAGAUAGGGGUGUGUGGAACUUCCAGUGGAGCGGUGAAAUGUGUUGAUAUUGGAAGGAACGCCAGUGGCGAAAGCGACACACUGGGUCUCAACUGACGGCUGAGGCACGAAAGCCAGGGGAGCAAACGGG
rnacentral:rRNA from 1 species